AUUGAACGCUGGCGGCAGGCUUAACACAUGCAAGUCGGGCGGGGUGAUGGUGCUUGCACUAUCACUUAGCGGCGGACGGGUGAGUAAUGCUUAGGAAUCUGCCUAUUAGUGGGGGACAACAUCUCGAAAGGGAUGCUAAUACCGCAUACGUCCUACGGGAGAAAGCAGGGGAUCACUUGUGACCUUGCGCUAAUAGAUGAGCCUAGGUCGGAUUAGCUAGUUGGUGGGGUAAAGGCCUACCAAGGCGACGAUCUGUAGCGGGUCUGAGAGGAUGACCCGCCACACUGGAACUGAGACACGGCCCAGACUCCUACGGGAGGCAGCAGUGGGGAAUAUUGGACAAUGGGGGGAACCCUGAUCCAGCCAUGCCGCGUGUGUGAAGAAGGCCUUAUGGUUGUAAAGCACUUUAAGCGAGGAGGAGGCUCUUUUGGUUAAUACCCAAGAUGAGUGGACGUUACUCGCAGAAUAAGCACCGGCUAACUCUGUGCCAGCCGCCGCAGUAA
rnacentral:rRNA from 1 species